rnacentral:lncRNA from 1 species
AGGAAGGCCUUUGGGUUGGCCUGCUAACUUUGCCAAACAGAAGUCCUUAGCUCCAGAUUCCAGCCCAGUACCUCUUCACCUGUGUGCCAGGUUCACAUGCUGUGAUCAGCACCCAUCGCAAGCAAAAUGGUUUAAAUUUUAAACUCUUGUCAUCUACCUGCUUCUGCUUAGUGCCCCCAACGGGAAGUAGGGCUUCUUCAUUCUGGGUUUGGCUUUGAAAAUCAGAAAUGACCUUCCUCCUCAAAUUCUAUUCCAGGUUUAAUUUCAGGCUAUCUCUGAUUAUAAAUUGGUUUGUAUUGAGUUCUUUUGUUGCAGCUGGUGAGGGUGUGGAGUUUUGAUUUAAUGAGGAGUGGUUCUCAUUCUUGACAGGAUACAUUUCCUAAGGAUAAAUACAAACGGUGGCACGUCCCACCCCUGGCCACAAUGACAACAGUGAUCCUCACGUGUGCACGUGUCUUUGUGACAUAUGGAGAUCUGCAUCCAAAAGUCCAUCUUAUUCAGAGAACCCAAGGAUUCUCACUGGCCACUUGCCUUCCUGAAACAGAGGUGACCUAUGCAGCUCUGCCCUGACUCUCUCUCUCUCUCUCCAGGCUUUCCUGCAUGGUUUUGACCUUAACCUCUUUCUCCUCCAUCCUUCCUUGGUCCAAGUCUAGAGCCUCUCUCUUGUUAGCCGUGAGGCCAGCAUCGUCAGGAGGUUUGAUGUGGUGUGAAUUCCUGCCCCUGAGGAGAUGGACAGCAAAAUGCACGGAACCCUGAGAAGCAAGAGCACGGGAAGAUUCUGGAGAGCUCUCUGUCUGCCAUGUGAAGUCUGGCCCCAGAGAUGUCUCAGGGUGGAGACGCCCUGGUGUGUACAGGGGCUCUUGCCUGUUUUGUCCCUGGUGGUCCAAGGUCUCCUGUCUGUCCUGUGACAGUCUUCUAUUUGUUCAAUACCCCUGGAGACUUCUUCUUUCACAAUUUAGUUAUGUGUCUGAAUUUGAGCCAUCUAUCUUCCAGAAAGUACCCCGUCAAUCCCAACUCAAUCUUCAAUUUAGGUCCAUACUCACCAGAAGUUGGUGUCCUGUAAAUAUCUGGUAAUUUUUGUUUUUUUAAUGUGAUGCUGGGGAUCAAACUCAGGACCUCUCUACCACUGAAGCCCCACCACCCUGCCAUGUGGUGUUCUUGAAUUUUGGAAAUGAAGGCAGAUGUGUUUAUUCUUUCAAAAUAAUUUUGAGUAUCUAGUAUGUACUAGUCACCUGUGUUCUGGAUUAUAUAAGGAAAUAGUAAUGAAACAUGGUUACCUUCUAAAUUUAC